CAGGAAAUAGUUUAAUGAGAAUGCUGACUUUGGGUGUCAGUGGUGGGGGCUUGGUCUUCUUUCCUGA
rnacentral:tRNA from 2 species